CCCUGGGUGGCUCAGUCGGUUGAGUGUCUGACUUCAGCUCAGGUCAUGUUCUCAGGUUCAUGGGUUCAAGUCCCACUUUGGGCU
rnacentral:tRNA from 1 species